AGCGAACGCUGGCGGCAGGCCUAACACAUGCAAGUCGAACGGAUCCUUCGGGAUUAGUGGCGGACGGGUGAGUAACACGUGGGAACGUGCCCUUUGGUUCGGAGCAACUCAGGGAAACUUGAGCUAAUACCGGAUGUGCCCUUCGGGGGAAAGAUUUAUCGCCAUUGGAGCGGCCCGCGUCUGAUUAGCUAGUUGGUGGGGUAAAGGCCCACCAAGGCGACGAUCAGUAGCUGGUCUGAGAGGAUGAUCAGCCACAUUGGGACUGAGACACGGCACAAACUCCUACGGGAGGCAGCAGUGGGGAAUCUUGCGCAAUGGGCGAAAGCCUGACGCAGCCAUGCCGCGUGAAUGAUGAAGGUCUUAGGAUUGUAAAAUUCUUUCACCGGGGACGAUAAUGACGGUACCCGGAGAAGAAGCCCCGGCUAACUUCGUGCCAGCAGCCGCAGUAAUAC
rnacentral:rRNA from 1 species